rnacentral:tRNA from 1 species
CUCUCCGUAGCUCAGUUGGCAGAGCAGCUGACUCUUAAUCAGCGGGUCGCAGGUUCGAGCCCUGCCGGGGAGACCA